AACGAACGCUGGCGGCAUGCCUAACACAUGCAAGUCGAACGAGACCUCCGGGUCUAGUGGCGUACGGGUGUGUAACGCGUGGGAACCUGCCCUUAGGUUCGGCAUAACUCCCCGACAGGGGUGCUAAUACCGGAUAAUGUCUACGGACCAAAGAUUUAUCGCCUUUGGUUGGGCCCGCGUUGGAUUAGCUAGUUGGUAGGGUAAAAGCCUACCAAGGCGACGAUCCAUAGCUGGUCUGAGAGGAUGAUCAGCCACACUGGGACUGAGAGCCGGCCCAGACUCCUACGAGAGGCAGAAGUGGGGAAUAUUGGACGAGGGGCGAAAGCCUGAUCCAGCAAUGCCGCGUGAGUGAUGAAGGCCGUAGGGUUGUAAAGCUCUUUUACACGGGAUGAUAAUGACAGUACCGGGAGAAUAAGCUCCGGCUAACUCCGUG
rnacentral:rRNA from 1 species